CAAGCGCGCGCAUUAAAACUCCAGCUGAUAAAAUUGACAAAGGCGAGACGGCCUCUCGUCCGUCCCUCGCGGCCACCGAGCUGGCGCGGCCAAUGAUGCCCGAGGCGAAGGGGAGGGACCAGCGGAGCGCCGGGCAGAGCCAGACCCAAGCAAAAACAAAGCCGUCUCUCUGAAACAAAACCGAAACACACGUGGCCGGGGAAAGGAAAAUAAAUCCUUGGCCAAAAGAGAUUUGCCGACAAGAAAAGAAGACCGUCUGCAGACUGUCCCCGCUGGCACUAGCGGGACCCGGCCAGAAGUGCCUCGUGAGUGACAUUGAGGUCGUGGCUCAGUACCGUCAGCCUCCAAACACCGUGGUGCAGAGAACGAGGCCCUCCGCAGUGGGACAGGCGCAGCGCCAAGGAACCCUUUUUCUCUUUAGUCCUUCUUGCCAACCGGAGAAAUAACGCCUCGGCAUUUCUGCCUCUAACACUGCUUCCUGUUCUCCACCCCAGAUUCGCUGCGCCGCAGCCUCUCAGCCCCACCCCCACCGCCCACCGCCCGCUGUGAGUCACCCCCUCUCCCCCUUCUCUCAACCGGAGUGUGCAGAGCAAGGCCCUAUUGUGGUUACCCAUAAAUGCAAAGGCGCGGAGACACCAGUCCCUCUAUGAGGAGCUGGCAUUUUAAUUAGCACACUCCAACAGCCAUAAACCCCGACUGCUGUCCCAUCUCUCCUCCCGCUCCCAGGGUCCUCCUCCAACCUCCCCACUCACCCCCAUCUAUGUUAAAAAAAAAAAAAAGCCAUAAAGCCUUUCUCCAAUCGC